GAGCACAGCCAGGAUCUGCGGCUUGCAACAGGGCCUGGAUGUCUUCUGCCGUAAGAACCAACUCACAGAGACCAUCCAGACACUGCUCCAAGAGCAGCCCACGGACCGGCUGCGCACGGAGGUGCGGCAUCUCGCCAUGGAUGCGAUAGCGGAACUGAGCUCAGUGCAGUCAGGGCUUGCGGACCAAGGGAGAGGCCUCUUAGAGACCUGCUUCAGGAGCGUCUUCUUCCUGCCUCCGAAAGAGGAGUUUUCAAGCCUGGAUACCUACUACUACGUCCA